AUGAGUUUCCUCCAUUGUCCCCUUCGCCUCUGCCUAGCAGUGCAAAGAGACACAAAAAGUUAAUGACAGUUUGAGAUCAAGACUAGAACUUUGAAUCAAUUUGUAGUGAGCUCUGGGAAUAAGUGGUGUUUCUAAUUGAGAUUUGGAAGAAAGCGAACAACAUGGAAGCAAUGGUGAGCUACGACAAAGACAUGAAGCUGUGGCUUGGUCUGCCAAGCUCCGAUGCUCGGAGAAGCAGGUCACGAGGGUCGGAAAAUGAGCGCUUCUGGAUGAUGAGAUUGACUUCGUCGAUUCUUCACCAGAGGUGACUCCGGUUGUCGGGGUAUCAGUGUGUCCCUGAUGGCCAAACACAACUGAAGAUAGAGACGGAGGCAGAUGCCGCCUGGCUGUUUGUGAAGAAGCGGCUCCUUGAGGAAGAUUGACCUCAAGGGUUACAAAGGGUCCAAGGUGUUAUUUUCCUUAGGAGAAGUAUCAAGAAAAGAAUAUUUCAAUAGAUGUGAAUAUGCUAUCAUUUAUAAAGACAGAUAGUGACAUGAUAUUGGUUGGAGAUGUUCCUUGGGAGUGAAUGUCAUACACUAACUUUUGUGUGUUUGAGUAAAGGAAUUUUUUAAAUUA